rnacentral:rRNA from 1 species
GAUGAACGCUGGCGGCGUGCCUAAUACAUGCAAGUCGAGCGAACAGAUGAGGAGCUUGCUCCUCUGACGUUAGCGGCGGACGGGUGAGUAACACGUGGAUAACCUACCUAUAAGACUGGGAUAACUUCGGGAAACCGGAGCUAAUACCGGAUAAUAUAUUGAACCGCAUGGUUCAAUAGUGAAAGACGGUUUUGCUGUCACUUAUAGAUGGAUCCGCGCCGCAUUAGCUAGUUGGUAAGGUAACGGCUUACCAAGGCGACGAUGCGUAGCCGACCUGAGAGGGUGAUCGGCCACACUGGAACUGAGACACGGUCCAGACUCCUACGGGAGGCAGCAGUAGGGAAUCUUCCGCAAUGGGCGAAGGCCUGACGGAGCAACGCCGCGUGAGUGAUGAAGGUCUUCGGAUCGUAAAACUCUGUUAUUAGGGAAGAACAAAUGUGUAAGUAACUAUGCACGUCUUGACGGUACCUAAUCAGAAAGCCACGGCUAACUACGUG